rnacentral:rRNA from 1 species
UACGAACGCUGGCGGCGUGCUUAACACAUGCAAGUCGAACGGAAAGGCCCUGCUUUUGUGGGGUGCUCGAGUGGCGAACGGGUGAGUAACACGUGAGUAACCUGCCCUGGACUUUGGGAUAACUUCAGGAAACUGGGGCUAAUACCGGAUAGGAGCUCCUGCUGCAUGGUGGGGGUUGGAAAGUUUCGGCGGUUGGGGAUGGACUCGCGGCUUAUCAGCUUGUUGGUGGGGUAGUGGCUUACCAAGGCUUUGACGGGUAGCCGGCCUGAGAGGGUGACCGGCCACAUUGGGACUGAGAUACGGCCCAGACUCCUACGGGAGGCAGCAGUGGGGAAUAUUGCACAAUGGGCGGAAGCCUGAUGCAGCAACGCCGCGUGCGGGAUGACGGCCUUCGGGUUGUAAACCGCUUUCGCCUGUGACGAAGCGUGAGUGACGGUAAUGGGUAAAGAAGCACCGGCUAACUACGUG